rnacentral:rRNA from 1 species
UACAGAGGUCUCGAGCGUUAGGCGGAAUCACUGGGUUUAAAGGGUGCGUAGGUGGGCAGGUAAGUCAGUGGUGAAAUCUCCGGGCUUAACCCGGAACUGCCGUUGAUACUAUCUGUCUUGAAUGUAGUGGGAGGUGAGCGGAAUAUGUCAUGUAGCGGUGAAAUGCUUAGAUAUGACAUAGAACACCCAUUGCGAAGGCAGCUCGCUACACUAUUAUUGACACUGAGGCACGAAAGCGUGGGGAUCAAACAGG